ensembl:lncRNA
CUCCCGGAUGUUUCUCCUUCCCUGCUUCCUUGUCUGGUUUCGUCUCCGGGAGGAAAUGCCCCCUGUCCAGCGCUGAGACCUGGGUUUGAUCCCUGGGCCAGGAAGAUCCCCUGGAGAAGGGAAUGGCUACUCCAGUAUUCUUGCCUGGAGAAUCCUAUGGACAGAGGAGCCUGGCCCGGCUGCGUGCCCUCCGAGAGAUCCAGGGCAGCUCAGGACACUGAGAGUGGAGUUCGAGCCCCAGCCUAGGAGGCAGGUCCCAGCUGGGCAUCUGGCAGGCUCUGUAGCCUGAAUUCUCUGGAACUGAUCCUUCAUCUGUUGCCUUGGAGAGGAGGAAACUGGCAUGAAAUCAGCAGGCAGUGGAUGGCCCUUCACUUAGGCAAACCCCUCGCUGAUCUAACCCUCCAUGAGACUGUCCAGUGUCAGGAAACCAAAGGCACAGACAUUCGAGGAGUGAAAAAUGCCAAUACUGGGACUUCCCUGGUGGUCCAGUGGGGAAGAAUCCACCUUCCAAUGCAGGGAACAUGGGCUCGAUCACUGGUCCAGGAGCUAAGAUUCCUACAUGCUGAGGGGCAGCUGAGCCUCCAUACUGCAACUACGGAGUCCAUGGUCUGGAAUCCAUGCGCCACAAUUAGAGGGAAGUUCAUGUGCUGCAACGAAGAGACUGCAUGCAGCAACUAAGACCCGACACAGCCAAAAAUAAAAGGAAUGCAAGCUGAAAAAAAAACAACCCAAGACAAAAAGAAAAAUGCCAGUACUGACAGACCCAGACCAUCGCCCCCUCCCUUGGGGAGGUUUAACCACCUUAUCCGCUCUCCUCAUAAAACCUGCUGCCCUUGGCUUUCUCCUGUUUCUUUUCCUGUCUCCUCUACAUGUUUCUCCUUUGUCCUCUUUGCAGAUUCUCAUCUGGGAGCCCAUGGGGGCCACCAAGCCUCAGCCCACGAAUCCUACUUCAUCCUUCUCUUUGGAGGCCAGAAUCCAUCUAGUCCUUCCCUGCCUCAAGGCUUUCUCACUGCCUCCCCUAACUGUGCCCUCCAUGGGGUCAGGGACCGCAUGGCCUUUGGACCACCCCCCUCUCCACCGCAAACCAUUAACCUGGCCCAGUGUCUGGAGCAGAGAUGUCAAAUGCUGCAGGUGGGGAAAUAAGUAAAAGUGCCAGCUUCCCCUCCCCCACCUCUUGGUUGUGACCUGGCAAAAUCCGGCCCCACCUAAUCACCCAAGUAGACCUCUGAAGCUCAGAGUUUUGAACUUAAAAGAACAAGACACAGAUAAACUCACUCACAGAAUGUGAUGCAACUUUUCGGAGAGACAGUUCAGGGGCGUUUAAUAACAAAUGAGAAAUGCGUAUGAAGAUGCUGACCAUGUGGCAGCACAGAAAACUGUAUAAACAUAAUGAUCAUAGCUGGGUGCACAGGAUGUCUGGAGGGUUCCUGGGUCAAAGUGCUGAAGUUUACUUCCUGGAUUCAUUGAACCAAGAAGGCUCUGGGCCUGGGGAUACCAACUGCAAUGAAGUGAGUGAGAUGUCUCGUACUGAAAAUGUACAAGAUUCUUCCUUAGGGAAAAUGAUCAGCCUAAGUGAAAAGUCUUGUAACCGCUGACACAGGAGAUCUGUCAGAGUCCUCUCUCAUGACCUUGCCCUGAAGCCACAGCUUGGCAAGCCUUGUUCACCUGCUCAGCCUUGUGUGUGUGUGUGUGUGUGUGUGUGCGCGCGCGUGCAUGUGUAUGCUCAGUCAUUCAGCUGUGGCUGACUCUUUGCGACCCCAUGGACUGUAGCUUGUCAGGCUCCUCAGUCCAUGGAAUUCUCCAGGCAAGAAUACUGGAGUGGGUUUCCAUUUCCUACUCUAG